rnacentral:rRNA from 1 species
GAUGAACGCUGGCGGCGUGCCUAAUACAUGCAAGUCGAGCGAACAGACGAGGAGCUUGCUCCUCUGACGUUAGCGGCGGACGGGUGAGUAACACGUGGAUAACCUACCUAUAAGACUGGGAUAACUUCGGGAAACCGGAGCUAAUACCGGAUAAUAUAUUGAACCGCAUGGUUCAAUAGUGAAAGACGGUUUUGCUGUCACUUAUAGAUGGAUCCGCGCCGCAUUAGCUAGUUGGUAAGGUAACGGCUUACCAAGGCAACGAUGCGUAGCCGACCUGAGAGGGUGAUCGGCCACCCUGGAACUGAGACACGGUCCAGACUCCUGCGGGACGCAGCAGUAGGGAAUCUUCCGCAAUGGGCGAAAGCCUGACGGUGCAACGCCGCGUGAGUGAUGAAGGUCUUCGGAUCGUAAAACUCUGUUAUUAGGGAAGAACGAAUGUGUAAGUAACUAUGCACAUCUUGACGGUACCUAAGCAGAAAGCCACGGCUAACUACGUG